rnacentral:rRNA from 1 species
GACGAACGCUGGCGGCGUGCCUAAUACAUGCAAGUAGGACGCAGUUGCGAACGGGUGAGUAACGCGUAGGUCACUGCCUAUUAGAGGGGGAUAACUAUUGGAAACGAUAGCUAAUACCGCAUACUAGUAGAUGGCCCUGCGUUGUAUUAGCUAGUAGGUAGGGUAAUGGCCUACCUAGGCAACGCUACCUAGCCGACUUGAGAGGUGGAUCUGCAAAACUGGGACUGAGACACUGCCCAGAAUCCUACGGGAGGCAGCAGUAGGGAAGCUUUGGCAAUGGGGGGAACCCUGACCGAGAAACGCCGCGUGAGUGAAGAAGGUUUUCGGAUCGUAAAGCUCUGUUGGUAAGGAAGCGGUACUUAACCAGAAAGGGACGGCUAACUACGUGCCAGCAGCCGCGGUAAUAC